rfam:Pan troglodytes isolate Yerkes chimp pedigree #C0471 (Clint) chromosome 5, whole genome shotgun sequence.
AUCCUUUUGUAGUUCAUGAGCAUGAUGAUUGGGUGUUCACGUGCAUAUGUGAAC